rnacentral:rRNA from 1 species
AGUGGCGCACGGGUGAGUAACACGUAGGUAAUCUACCUUUGGAUUGGGAAUAACCACGGGAAACUGUGGCUAAUACCGAAUAAUGCAGCGGCACCUAAUGGUGACAGUUGUUAAAGCGGGGGAUCGCAAGACCUCGCGUCUGAAGAGGAGCCUGCGGCAGAUUAGCUAGUUGGUAAGGUAACGGCUUACCAAGGCUAUGAUCUGUAGCCGGCCUGAGAGGGCGGUCGGCCACACUGACACUGACAUACGGGUCAGACUCCUACGGGAGGCAGCAGUCGGGAAUUUUGGGCAAUGGGCGAAAGCCUGACCCAGCAACGCCGCGUGAAGGAUGAAAUCCUUCGGGAUGUAAACUUCGCAAGAACGGGAAGAAUAAGUAAGAGUUAAUAUCUCUUAUGAUGACGGUACUGUUUGUAAGCUCCGGCUAACUCCGUGCCAGCAGCCGCGGUAAUACGGGGGGAGCAAGCGUUGUUCGGAUUUACUGGGCGUAAAGGGCGGGUAGGCGGCCACUGCAAGUCGGUUGUGAAAUCUCCGGGCUUAACCCGGAAAGGUCAAUCGAUACUGCAGGGCUAGAGUGCAGAAGGGGCAACUGGAAUUCUCGGUGUAGCGGUGAAAUGCGUAGAUAUCGAGAGGAACACCUGCGGCGAAGGCGGGUUGCUGGGCUGACACUGACGCUGAACUGCGAAAGCUAGGGGAGCGAACGGGAUUAGAUACCCCGGUAGUCCUAGCCUUAAACGAUGAAUGCUUGGUGUCUGGGGUUUUAUAGUCCCCGGGUGCCGUCGCUAACGCUUUAAGCAUUCCGCCUGGGGAGUACGGUCGCAAGACUGAAACUCAAAGGAAUUGACGGGGACCCGCACAAGCGGUGGAGCAUGUGGUUUAAUUCGACGCAACGCGAAGAACCUUACCUGGGCUAGAAUGCCUCUGACAACCCUAGAGAUAGGGCCUUCUGGGUAAAACCAGACAGAGUGCAAGGUGCUGCAUGGCUGUCGUCAGCUCGUGUCGUGAGAUGUUGGGUUAAGUCCCGCAACGAGCGCAACCCUUAUCAAUAGUUGCCAGCGGUUCGGCCGGGCACU